rnacentral:rRNA from 1 species
UAUUGGACAAUGGGCGAAAGCCUGAUCCAGCAAUACCGCGUGUGUGAAGAAGGCCUUAGGGUUGUAAAGCACUUUCAAUUGGGAGGAAAACCUGCCGGUCAAUACCCGGUAGCUUGACAUUACCUUUAGAAGAAGCACCGGCUAACUCCGUGCCAGCAGCCGCGGUAAUACGGAGGGUGCGAGCGUUAAUCGGAAUUACUGGGCGUAAAGCGUGCGUAGGCGGUUCGUUAAGUCAGAUGUGAAAGCCCUGGGCUCAACCUGGGAACUGCAUUUGAAACUGGCGGACUAGAGUUUAGUAGAGGGGAGUGGAAUUUCAGGUGUAGCGGUGAAAUGCGUAGAUAUUUGAAGGAACACCAGUGGCGAAGGCGACUCCCUGGACUAGAACUGACGCUGAGUACGAAA